UGCCUCACACUCAAAAACCUUCCAUUUGUCAGUGCCUGCAAGUGAAAUACCAUGUGUACAAUUCCUAAAUGGUUAGUCUUUUCAUUCCUUGGUACAGCUAGAUACUCAUCAAUCUUUUAUGAUAGUAAUAAUGUUGGGUGGAGUUAACACGAAACAAACACAUAUAUGACUGUUUUAUUCUAACUUGUUCUUUUUUAUUUCCUCCCUCAUUAUUUGAUGCUGUAAUCUCCUUCCAAUAUAUCUCGACUGUAUAUCAUUAUGUAAAAAUAGUAUUUCACUAUUUGAGUAAUUGUUUUAAAUCCAUGAGUUCAGUUAGUGAUUUAGUAUUAGAACAAAUCUAAAAAUAUCACGCUUCACCCUUUUAAAAUAUUCAAUAUUUUCUUUUUUAAUCUAUUGUUCCAUAUCAAUGAAGGCUAGUUGGAAGAAUUCUCUUUUUGGGUUACCUACUCGUUUCCAUUUUCUGUUUGACAAUUCUCAUAAAAUUUGGGGUUGGAUCACCAAGAUUGGACCUAUUCCACUUAAAAUGACUUUGCCCGCACGACGACACUCUCUUUGAUGUUAAUUUCUUGCAACAAUAAAUAUCUACUCCAUAAGUUUAUCCUUAAAGAAAAAUUAAGGAACACAUCAACUAUAGUAACUUAUCCAAUAUGUUUUAUCGUUGUAAUAUUUUGAUAUUUACUUUAUCAUGCAGUGAAAAUUACAAAAGAAAAAGGAAAAGUUUACAGUCUUGUCUUACUCGUGGUGUGUUUUAAGUAUGGUAGAAAUUGUAAAAUAGAUGAAAUUGCAGAACAAAAGAGAAAAAAGCAAAAAAGAAAAUAAUAAGAAGAAGAAAAAGAGUAGCUUCGCUAGUUAGAGCCUGAUCCACCAGGAAUCUUUCACCGCCAGUCAUGUUCCAGGGUGGCUAAUUGGAAAAUAAACAUAAUUAUCGGAGAAAUUAAGAAAAUUAAAGUUCUUGUUGAUUCAUUUGCACGUACGCAUUAUAAAAAUAAAUACUAUAUAUUAUAUGAGAAUUGGGAUAUAUGGGUAGGAAUUAGGAUGGUGCAAUUUGAAGAAUUUAAGAAACUUCCUUGCGAGAAAUGGACAAAAAAUUGAGUCUAGCAUACGUGUGAUGAAUCUUCUACUUAUACGGAAUGCACAUGUGUGCAUGUCUGUUUAUAUUGAUUACUCUCACAUGAAUCUUAUAUAUAUGAUUUUGUAUCUUGCUUAUUGUUUUUCUGUUUUUUCAUAUGAAAAAUAUUUAAGUAGGAUCAUCAGAAAACUGCAGGUUGUAUAGUAAUUACUAAAUACAUUUAUUUCAUAUAAAACUAUUAUCCGUCUAGCCACAAAAGAAGUCCCUAAAGGCUUCAGGGGAAAUGAACAUAUACCCAACCCACGCAUAAUCUUUCCUUGUUUCCUUGCCUGAUGAUAUAUCUGCUGCUGGGGGUCCCAGCAAGAGAGGGCUUCGUACUGCCAGGGAUGCAUCAAGUUGCUGUGGAAAUUUUGGAGGGUUCCUAUGUUGUUGUUUGUCAUUGAAGACUGUCGGAAGGAUGAUCAAUUGCUGCAGCAGAGUGGAGAUGAAGAAGCUUUGUUCUGCACAUUGUGUAAUGUUGAGAGGGUCUUUCGGAAAUAGUCUCUUUACUCUUUCUGAAUAGGGGUAAGUUUUGCAUUGUGAGCACGUAAUUUUUGCCCUACACGAGAACAACUCCUAAAAAAUAAACCAAAAAUAAUUUUUAUUAAUUUCAGGAAUUUUUCUUUGUUUAUUUGCAUUUCGCGUUUUUAAUAAUUUUAAAUCAUAGAAAAAUUCUAAAAAUGAUUAUUUUUGUUAUAAAUAGACUUCUAUUUAAGGUGAAUGUCUAUAAUUAGAGAGAUUCUAGAG
rnacentral:lncRNA from 1 species